UACGUAGGGCGCAAGCGUUGUCCGGAAUUAUUGGGCGUAAAGAGCUCGUAGGCGGUUUGUCGCGUCUGCUGUGAAAACUCGAGGCUCAACCUCGGCUUGCAGUGGUACGGGCAGACUAGAGUCCGGAAGAGGAGAGUGGAAUUCCGGUGUAGCGGUGAAAUGCGCAGAUAUCGGGAAGAACACCCGUGGCGAAGGCGGCUCUCUGGAACGCAACUGACGCUGAGACGCGAAAGCGUGGGGAGCAAACAGG
rnacentral:rRNA from 1 species